rnacentral:rRNA from 1 species
GACGAACGCUGGCGGCGUGCCUAACACAUGCAAGUCAGGGAGAAUGGGGUAGCAAUAUCCCUAGUAAACCGGCGCAAGGGUGAGUAACACGUAAGCAAUCUGCCUUUUGGACGGGAAUAACUUCGAGAAAUCGAGGCUAAUACCCGAUAAUGCAGCGGCAUCGCAUGAUGACAGUUGUUAAAGGCCGUAAGGUGCCAAAAGAUGAGCUUGCGUCCCAUUAGCNGUUGGCGGGGUAAUGGCCCACCAAGGCGACGAUGGGUAGCUGGUCUGAGAGGACGAUCAGCCACACUGGAACUGAGACACGGUCCAGACUCCUACGGGAGGCAGCAGUGAGGAAUAUUGCGCAAUGUCCGAAAGGGUGACGCAGCGACGCCGCGUGAAGGAUGAAGG